GACGAACGCUGGCGGCGUGCUUAACACAUGCAAGUCGAACGGUGACCCUCGGAGCUUGCUUCGGGGUGAACAGUGGCGAACGGGUGAGUAACACGUGAGUAACCUGCCCCUGACUCUGGAAUAAGCGCUGGAAACGGCGUCUAAUACCGGAUAUGACACGAACGGGCAUCCGUAUCGUGUGGAAAGUUUUUCGGUCUGGGAUGGACUCGCGGCCUAUCAGCUUGUUGGUGAGGUAAUGGCUCACCAAGACGAUGACGGGUAGCCGGCCUGAGGGGGCAACCGGCCACACUGGGACUGAGACACGGCCCAGACUCCUACGGGAGGCAGCAGUGGGGAAUAUUGCACAAUGGGCGAAAGCCUGAUGCAGCGACGCCGCGUGAGGGAUGACGGCCUUCGGGUUGUAAACCUCUUUCAGCAGGGAAGAAGCGAAAGUGACGGUACCUGCAGAAGAAGCACCGGCUAACUACGUGCCAGCCGCCGCAGUAAAAC
rnacentral:rRNA from 1 species